rnacentral:rRNA from 1 species
AGAGUUUGAUCCUGGCUCAGAACGAACGUUGGCGGCGUGGAUUAGGCAUGCAAGUCGAACGAAGACGGGGUAGCAAUAUCCCGGACUGAGUGGCGAAAGGGGCAGUAAGGCGUGGGCAACCUACCUCUGGGACGGGGAUAGCCUUCCUAACGGGAGGGUAAUACCCGGCGACGUAACGGGGUGGCAUCACUUUGUUACCA